UGAAAAACCUGGGCAAAAUUGGGGAGAAAUCUGGAAAUGUCGAAGUCUUGCAAGGGCCUGGCAAUGGAGCUCGUAAAAUGCCUCAGCGAAACCGAUUGUGUUAAGGUUGACAUGAGAGCUAGGAUUCGGGGAAACAAAGGCUACUAAAGUGAGGGGAGAUGAUGAUAUUGGGUAAUUUUUUGGAUUUUGGAUAGGAGAUGAUAUUGCAUGUAUAGUUAAUUGACUUUGAUGCUAUGUUGCAAUCAAAUUGGUUGCCAGACAGUGCCUCUUUAAGGGGUGAUAAUACCUAAAUCGGAACCUUUGGUUUGAUCAUCUGGUUGAAGUAACUACUUGGCCUUGUGCAAGUCUCCUGAAUAAAUUAAAGAAAGUGCCUAUAGUUAUUGCUCA